ensembl:lncRNA
GAGAUGAAAGGCGGGUGGCGGGUGGGGGCCGCCUGCAGCGCCAGGUGAGAGCUGGCAGCCCCGCCCAGCGCCUGGGGACCAGGCAGGAAAGCUGAGGUCCAGAGAGAGCUUUCCUGGCUCACACAGAACGUCUGUGGCUGAGCCAAGACUGGAACUAGCAUUCCUGCUUCUCACUCACACCGCUCUCAUCCCACUGCUUUUCUAGACCCGGGACACUGAGGCCUACAGAAUCAACCAGCCUGGAGCCAUCGAAGCGUCCACUCUUUAGACAGCUGUGUGUGUGUCUUGUAGCUGUGACUUGACCUUAUUGUCCUUUUACGGGCAGGAGUCAGGUUUCCUGUACCCUCGACUGUGUCAGGCAUGUGGACCUGGAACACACCCAGGUCCUUGCUCUGUUUGAAGACAGAAGGACAGCCCAAAGCCCCGGGUUCCUUUCAUCACUUUUUUCCUCCCUUGACUUAAAGAUCUUUAUGCGGGAUGUUUAAUGCUCACACGGUGUGGAUCCUAGAACAUGCUUACAAAUGAGGAAGCCUGGGACUCAAGGAAGUUCUGUAGAUUGGUGAUUCAGAGCUUGGUCCUGUUCCCUGAAGCUGACAAAUCCUGUUCUCCCUGCAAAUCGGCCUCCCUCAUGUCCAGACCCCAACCCAUUCCUUUAUUCCUGUUUUUCUCCUUGUGUGAUUCUUGCACAUAGUAGGUUCUUGAGAGAGAGAGCAUGUGAUAUUCAUUGUCUGCUGUCUUACAUCACCAGCCAUUUACCAACCAGGGCAAGCAGAGCACCCCCUGUGUUUAGAGGGGUGCACCUGUGUGUGUCUGUUGGGGGGUGGGUGUUUAGUUGGAGAAAAUGGGCCUUGUCCACAGUAAAAAGAACAACUCCCAUUAAUCGAAGGAGUACCUAAGGUACCAGGUCUUGUGCUUUACAUAUUUUUGUUUAAGGUCUACAGUAGCUCUAGGGAAUUUUUUCAGGAAUCUCAAGCCUCUGGGACAUCAAGUGGUUUGCCCAGUCACCCAGAGCAGAUGGGAACCAGGUCUGUGUGUCUGGAACUUGUGUCUCAGCCCAGAGCAGAGAAGGUCAGCAUGUCCGGAGCCAGAGGGAGGUUCCCUCCUCUGUAGGGAGGCUUCACUGGACAGGAAGCACCUGAACUGAGUCUGGAAGGAUGGGCUAGACUCCCAGAGCAGGAGAGGGCUUGGGCAAACUCGUGGAGAUGACACAGUGUCUGUUUCAUUGGGAAAUUGGGGAUUAUUAUGGAAAAAACCAGGCCACAUGGCCCCUGUGUACCUCUUGUGAUAGAAGGUAUUGAUUAUGGG